CUUUGAUAUGGUUAAAAAUCUAGAGAGUAUGUAAUCUGUCAAGAAAAAUAGGGUAAGAGUUAUAAAACACCUGGGGAUAUGCUAGGCUAUAAAACUCCAGGAAGACAAGAACAUGAAGCAGACGGAAGAAAUCUACCACCUGGAUCAAUUGAGCUGUCCUUUGACUUUCUGCCAUCUGUGCCACUAAAGAACAAACAGCGUGGCAAUCACAGGCAGCAUGCAUUUCAGGCUUGUUGACUGAGGGUGUCAACUACAUCACUUUCAUGAAGAGAGUUAAAGACAUUUUCUUAGACUUCAGGCCAGGAAGUCUUUGUGUUCCAUGAAGAAUUACUUUUCUUUAUUCUUUUUUUUUUGAGACAGAGUCUCAUUCUGUCAUGCAGACUCUGGAGUGCAGUGGCACAAUCUCAGCUCACUGCAACCUCUGCCUCCAGGGUUCAAGUGAUUCUCCUACCUCAGCCUCCCAAGUAGCUGGCCACGCCACCACACCUGACUAAUUUUUGUAUUUUUAGCAGAGACUGGGUCUCACCAUGUGGCCAAGCUGGUCUCAAACUCUUGAUCUCAAAUGAUCCAUCCACCUCAGCCUCCCAAAGUGCUGGGAUUUCAGGCAUGAGCCACCACACCUGGCCUCUUUUGUUUAUUCUUACGGUCAAAACAAAGCACUGUCCUUUGGCACAGAGUAUCAGAGAUAAGUCUGCACGUUACUAAUAAUUACAGUUAUACAACACAAUGUAUAAUAUAUACACACUAAAACUAUUAUAAUUAUCUUGAUAUCUUUAUAAUUAAUAUGUUGACUUUUCCCUAUUUUAGAUCUGUUAACUAUAAAUUCCUUGAUAAUUUUUAUCAUGUUAAUCUUUUAUCAUUUUAUGCAAUGGAAACAUGAGAAAUGAAUAAACAACUCACCUGGCAUUUGCUUUUUUUCUGUUGCUCUUGGGAAAGUGCAGGGGAAGCUGAAUGUACAGUUACGGGAGAAGAACACAGGGGUGGUCAUGCGAGAUCUGGCCUGCUACGGACCUUUGAGAUUCAGCUUCCUAAAAACUGCUGCCCACCAACUGGUUACACACUCGUCUAUGGGAAAAAGUUUCUUUGGCCCUUGAGGAGACAGCAAGAGCCAUGAUGAGUGAGAAUUCACACAUGUAAAUCUGACAAGAUGUCACAGAAGUUGACUAUGCAACUUUUCACUGGGUUGCACUUCCUAAUGGUCAAUUUCAUUUUUCUUUCAGAACUAAUCCGGGACUAAUUCAACAAAUAAUAUUAUAUCAGAAGACAAAUUGUCACCUGCCAUGUUCACUCCUGUAGGUGAAAUACUCAGGAUAUUUGUUUACUUACAUUCCUACUGAGUUGCUAACCCUUAAGGAAAUCAUGCUGCAGCAAAUGGUGGGAGUGCUUUGGGGAAAGAUCUGUUUUAAGAUUGUUUGCUUCUAACUCAGUUGCAACAGAACCUGGCAGGUGACUUACCUGUUAUAAGAUGGAUGGGUGUUUUCUAUUCCUGCUCUGCCAUUUACAAACUGGAUGAGUCUGGACAGGUUACUUAUACAUCCAAGAGUCAAGGUUUCUCAGCUUUGCAAUGAUGCAGACACAGACACCCCUACUCUCUGCCUCUAUAGGAUUAGGGUAGGUAAGGCGGCACCACAUCUCUAGAGGGCCCAUAUCACAAUGGACAUGGCGUGAGAGCAGCUCAGAAUCUGGACAAAGACCAUGGAGACUGAAUGUGGGGCAUGUUGGUUAAAGACUGGAGAUAGAACUCCUCCAGCUAUGCCCAGUGAUCUCUCCCUGCAGACCAUGCCCACACCAACCCUCCAAGAUUAAUAUUUCCACAGCAUACCCCUUUCCACCACUCAGUCCAGUCACAUAUCUUUUCUGAGACGUGGUCCAAACCUUUCAUCAUAGUGGGGAGACCUUCUGGAUGUGAUAACAUUUACAGAGCAUCACUCAUUCUGAGCAGGAGGAAGAAUUACUUCAGGCUGUGCAAACUGUCAGGCUCUGCCCUUUCUGGCAGUUUCCUGACUUUGCUCUGAAGUUGGGCUGACAACGUUCAGGUUAGAGAAGCAAUCUUCAAGGUGGGAUUCCUGUUCCUAGGGCGCCUUCUUCUUACUUCACAAGAACUGCUUUCUUCCGAGGAGCUGAAACCUGAGCUUAAAGGACAAAAUCAUUUUACUCAGAAACUUCACUCAGGGUUCCAAAUCUCAAAGAACUUCCUUGUCUAAACUCUGAAGGCACUGACUAUGCUGAAGGUUGGAUGGUGCAGGAGUCCAAGCAACACAGUCAUGCAGCCUGACCCAAGGACUUCAAGAUGCUAAGAAACCCCAGAAUACAUGACUACAAGGUGACACUCAGCCGCCCCCCACCCACUUCAGUAUGAUUUCAGGAAUACAAGAUGGUUUUAGGUAGGGUGGUCUACCCUGGCCAUGUGACCUUCACCAUUUCACUUGAACCCUCAGACCGUCAGUUUUCUUGUUUGUCAAGAUGGAAGACAGUCACAUAAAGAUUGUUGUAAGGCCGCAAUCUCUGCCUCCCGGUUCAAGCAAUUCUCCCGCCUCAGCCUCCCAAGUAGCUGGGAUUACAGGCAUGUGCCACCACGCCCAGCUAAUUUUGUAGUUUUAGUAGAGAUGGGGUUUCUCCAUGUUGGUCAGGCUGGUCUUGAACUCCCUACCUCAGGUGAUCUGCCUGCCUCGGCCUCCCAAAGUGCUGGGAUUAUAGGCGUGAGCCACUGUGCCCAGCCUCCCAAAGAGGUGUCUAU
rnacentral:lncRNA from 1 species